rnacentral:lncRNA from 1 species
CGGUUAACUAUGACCAGAAAACGUUUAACGUUUGAAGGCUACACUCCAGCCAUCUCUAGCCACUGUAGGUCACCACAACGUGAGCGCUCACCAAGUAGCCGUAACCUUGUUAAUGCUGAGUUAGUUACCUGAGUGGCCUGGCUGCUUUGGGCUGGGCUGUGAGGUGGUCUCUGGGUGCUGGUCUAGGCAGAGAGGCAGAGCCUGCAGUGGUGGAGUGGCUGUGGGUGUUGAGGUGGUGCCCGUGCCUGUCCAUGCCCGGGGUCCGGAGUAGAUAGCAGCUAAAAUGUUUUGCUCUGCCCUCCCAACAGACGCUGGUUGGAGGGAGCUUCAGCAAUGGACUCAGGAACAGGCAGAGCAGGCAACAGAUGGCACACAGACAGCAGAGUUGGGGACAGAUAUGCAGGGACAGACUGGCAGAGACAGGGAGUCUUAGCAAGCGUUUAAUGCCACAGCGGUGGUCCGUCACAUGAGGCGUCUCUAGCUGGGACCAUGUCAGGAGGUGCCGAGCCAGACCACCCUGCUCAGCCACUGCAGAAGUGGCUCCCAGCCAGACCACCCUGCCUAGCCCCUGUAGAAGCCAUCUGCUGCUGCCUGAGGGGGAACACACAGAGUCUCCCGUUGAGGGUGGCUACUCCCAGAGUGCGAACCAGCGGGGCAGAACGAGACUCCCUGGCCAACUGUACCUACCGCUGCCAUCCAACCAGCUGCAUCUGAUCCCCCGGCCACCUGUAGUGUGGCCAACCAAUGACUUUCCCACUUUCCAGUCUGGCCCCGAACACAGAGUUGUUGUUCCAGCGCCCCUUCACCAGAUGGGGCAGGGAUGUUAAGAACCCAGGGUGGGGAGGAGGGAAGAGGGGAUUCUAUGAUGCCAUUGCCAACAGAGGAGGUCACUUGACCUAGAUUGGGGUGAGAGUGGAGGAUGAACUGAGAGAGGAGAAGAGAAGGAGGCAAGCUUAAGGAGAGGUGUUGUACCCAGUGUAUUCCUGGGUGUUAUUAGUUUGGGAGUGGGACAGAGCUUGGACAGUGUUUUUACUCAUGCUUUUUAAAAGUGUAUGUCUGCUUUUUUUCAUCUCUGUAUUUCUGUACAUGCUGUUUUUUUCAUUGUCGUUAUCCUUCCCCCUUGACAACGUAUAGAGGAUUGAUCCACUGAUGCUACUUGCAUGAUCAGAGAACAGGCAGACAGGUCCCAAUGCAUGUUGACUGACAACAGGUGUUUUUAUAACAUAAGGAGUCUACUGCAGAACUAUGUGUAUGCGGUACCACCCAUUGUGGAAUAGUUUCUGUACAGCAGAUAUUGUAGCUAAUAGCUCACAAGAGAUGGACUUACAUGCAAAGCCAUUCCUCAAAAAACUAAGAAUAGGUGUCUGUUAACCUACAGAGGUCUCGGUUAACCCACAGUUUUACUCCCUGAUGUUUAAACCACAUUCUAACCUGAAAGUGCAAUAUUAUCCCGUUGAUAAAGACACUUUUGGGGGAGAGUUUCAGCCUGCCUUUCAACUGGUCAAAACUUAAUCCAUUUAAGUUAUUAAGAACAUGGAAGAUGUAAUGAGCUCAGCCCUCUUGCUUAAGGGCAGGGAAUAGAUGUGUGUGAAUACAAAGCCAAAUGUGGAUAUGUUUUUCACUGUGUACAUGCAACCAAUUAACAUUCCCUUUUGGAUCACCCUUCCAUGGGUCUUUUCUUAAUUCAUUUUGGGGUUGUUUUUUCAAGCAAUUUUAUGUGUACAGAGAGAACUUGAAUUAAUGAAAGUAAAUAAUAAUCCAUCAUUACAUCUGUCACUCUCGCUCUCACCAUGAGGUCACGUUAAAUUGUUGAUACCUUUAAUAACCUAUUGCACAUACAAAAGUGACAUUUUUUGUUAUUCACUUAAGACCACUCCAUUUGUUUUUGCACCACCCUAUUUUCCAAAUACUCUGUUUAAAUGUCCAUAAUUUGAAUGUAUGUAUGCGAAACAACUUGACCUGGCAACCUUUGGGGUCUAAAAUGUUGAGAUUAAGUGGCAUUGAAAAGUCUGACAUGGAAUACAUAACCUAACUUGUGAUCUGUGUAAGAGGCAAUAUAGUGAGAAAUUGUCAGUUGUAACCCAUUCGGCUUAGGUUUUCAGCCCUCUAUCAAAAUAUUAC